rnacentral:rRNA from 1 species
UACGGGGGGAGCAAGCGUUGUUCGGAUUUACUGGGCGUAAAGGGCGCGUAGGCGGCCACCGCAAGUCGACUGUGAAAUCUCCGGGCUUAACCCGGAAAGGUCAGCCGAUACUGCGGGGCUAGAGUGCAGAAGGGGCAACUGGAAUUCUCGGUGUAGCGGUGGAAUGCGCAGAUAUCGGGAAGAACACCCGUGGCGAAGGCGGUUCUCUGGGACGGUACUGACGCUGAGACGCGAAAGCGUGGGGAGCGAACAGG